AUGCUCAUCUUUAAUGAUUUUAUUCAAUCACAAGCCCUGGUAGAACUACCAAUCAAUGGGAGGAAGUAUACGUGGAGCAAUAUGCAAUCGGAUCCGCUACUGGAACAAAUCGAUUGGUUCUUCACUUCGGCCAAUUGGACCUCUAGCUAUCCGAACAUGACGGUGGGCCCCCUCCCAAAGCCGAUCUUCGACCAUAUCCCUUGUGUGAUUUUGAUUGAAACUGCAGUCCCUAAAUCCCAGGUCUUUCGUUUUGAGAAUUUCUGGAUCUCACACCCUGGUUUCUUUGAGGUUGUUCAGUCCACCUGGAAUAAAAUAUGUUUUGCACAUAACUUAGCUGUGAUGCUUUGUAAAAAGCUUAAGAACUUGAGAUAUGCCCUGAAGAAGUGGAGCAAAAAUAUUUCAAGACCGAAUCUGUGCAUCGAUAAUUCCAAUUGGGCUCUGCUUGAGCUGGACGGAAUGGAGAACUUGAGGCCCCUUACGACACCAGAGAAAAACUUCCGUGCAAUUCUUAAAUAG
rnacentral:rRNA from 1 species